rnacentral:lncRNA from 1 species
UUUUACCCUUUUUUUUCAUCAAUUAAACACUUUCUCCCACUCACAUCUCCCCUACUUCCAAUGUCACUGGUGAAUUCCCUUGUUGACUAUGUCACAAAAGUAUGCUUCUACAUUUUAAAUUCAUCACAUCUGGGCUCUGUCAUUCUUCUGAGGUGUUCUUCCCCCCCCCCCCCAAACCAAUCUUUUUCAUGAUUUCAUAUAGUACAAUACAAUUCCAUUACAUUCAUACAGCAGUUUGUUACAAUAGAGAUAUGAAAAUGACAAUCAGAACUAUUUCACUUUUUUUUUUUUUUUUUUUUUUUUUUGUGAAGUCAUCCUUUUCUGUGUAAAUUUGGAUGUCAUUUAUUUCCCUGGGUCUUCAUCUAGAAAAUUAAGGAACUAAAUUAUAUGAUGUCUAAGGUCCCUUCCAUCUCAAAAACUUUGUAGCCUAAAUUAGAGAGUUAGGAAAUCAUAGCAACUGCCCUAUUUAUUCUUAAGGAUCUCUGCAGAGUGACCUUAAAAACAAUCCUUUCUGGUUUUGCUUCAUGGGUGAUGAGACAGUGCAGAAAUUGCUUGUUUAAGAUUGUCUAGAAACUAGCACUAAAAUCCAACCCUCCUGAUUACCAGUUCAUCUUUCUUUCCAUGAUACUUCUUAACUUGGUCCCUGUAAAUUCCAUCAUUUGGGGGAACUUUAAUUCCAUCUUAAAUUUCACUGAAGAAAGUCUGAGUGUUUGCAGGGGAAGACGGAGGUAGGGACAUCAGGAAAGCACAGAAGGGUUACUGUGAGAGUUUUUCUCAUUUUAACAAGGAAAGCCUGUAGAAGUUUACUGGAGAGCUCUAAUCCCUUUAAAGUAUAGCAUUUCACAUUCCCAAAUCUUGUAUGUAUUGACUUAUGUGUACAAGACUUCUUUUGUGUUCCCUCUCCCAGAAGCAAGUAGCUAGGAUCUUAUGUUUGGUACUGGAAAGAAAAAUUGAGAUCAUUUAAUAAAAGCUGUCCAUUUUUAGUAUCUUAGGAAACAGGCGCAGAGAGGUGGAUUAACUCUCCCUUGAGCAUAUUAUGGGUGGUUAGCAGAGGUGGGCUUCGAAAGUCAGUGCUCAGCUUCUAUUCUGAAUCUCUCAUGUUGGGAGCUCACCACCUCAUUUCCCAAACCACCACUCCAAAUUCUGAGAUAAGUUGUACCAUCAUCCUGCAAUGAUUCUGUAUUGUUAGUCAUUUUAAAGCCUUUUUGCAUAGUGCUUUGGGGAGUCCACUGAGCCAGUGAUUUGUUGAUUUAGAAUUCUGAUGUAAAGGGCUGAUGUACCGUCUGACACUGGAUUCAUCUGGGCCAAAAAGUUCGAUGGGGUUUAGAAUUUUAAAAAGUUAAAGCCAGAUUUAUUUUUCUUGAAUAAAAGUGUUAUCUUUUUUAGGAAAAUAAUCUUGCAACUUGAAUCAGAUUAUUUCCCAGCUUGGACUGAAUUUUACAUCCUUAUUGGAGUGUGUAAUAUAACUUUGCUAGUAUCCUUGCAUUAUGUUUGCUACCUCACGUUCUUUAUGUAAGAACAAGUUUCCUGCAAUUAUGCUUUUGUGUUGGUUGUACUGUUCACUGACCUCUUUGGAACUCUUUUCUUUCUCCCUUUUCCCCACCUUGACACUCAUCACUGUUACAAAUAAAAAUUAUUGCUAAAAGUCACUCGAGUUUUCCUUGGAAGGAAAAAUGAAACAAUCUUUAGC